CCAGACUCCUACGGGAGGCAGCAGUGGGGGAUAUUGCACAAUGGGGGAAACCCUGAUGCAGCGACGCCGCGUGAGUGAAGAAGUAAUUCGUUACGUAAAGCUCUAUCAGCAGGGAAGAAAAUGACGGUACCUGACUAAGAAGCCCCGGCUAACUACGUGCCGGCAGCCGCGGUAAUACGUAGGGGGCAAGCGUUAUCCGGAUUCACUGGGCGUAAAGGGAGCGCAGGCGGCACGGCAAGUCCGGUGUGAAAGCCCGGGGCCCAGCCCCGGGACUGCACUGGAAACUGCCGGGCUGGAGUGUCGGAGGGGCAGGCGGAAUUCCUAGUGUAGCGGUGAAAUGCGUAGAUAUUAGGAGGAACACCAGUGGCGAAGGCGGUCUGCUGGACAGCAACUGACGGUGAGGCGCGAAAGCGUGGGGAGCAAACAGGAUUAGAUACCCUUGUA
rnacentral:rRNA from 1 species